UGCAGCCAAAGACUAGAGUCCCUGGUGGAGUUCCAGGAACCCGCCCCAAGACCACGCCUCUGAUGACAGAGCAAGGCUAGGGAUGCUCACACGCAACCACCUGGUUUGCCGAGUCACUUUCGGCCCUCGUGGGUGCUCUCAGUCUGCACUUCGCGAGAAGACCACUCAGUUCUCAACUCCGCGGUCAGCAGCGCUCCUUCUAGUCUCAGCCUUGCCCAGCCCUGCCCUUCUCAGUAGCUACAGCCCUCUAGCAAGUCGCAGCAGCUCAGAUCCCCGGCUUCCCCAUUUGUUAAAGGAGGUGAGACUCACCCCACACCGGCAUGUCCUCUCCCAGUCUUCUCCUCGCUCUCUUUUUCCUGUACUGGGGAUGAAACCCAAGUCCUCCACCAUGCUAGGCAAGUGCUCUACCACAAAGCCACUGCCAAACCUCCAGCCUCCAAACCUACUUUUUCUUGAGACAGCACCGCUGUCCGAGCGAGCACCAGGCUGGCAUGACCAGCACUUCUCAGCCUGAUAUGUUCGUGAAACACUGUGGUUUGGGGACCAUGCCAGGCACAAGCCAUGAGCGAAGGUGCUAAAGAGCUCAACUUCAGUUCCAGGCAUGCACCCUCGGCCCAGCUCGGCACCUGCUCAUCCUCUCCUGCCCCCACCCCCAUGGGCUGUGAGAAACUAAUCAUCAAUGGACCUUUCGCUUUCGGUUUUCGUCUGUAGCGUGAAGCUGCUGUGAACUUUUUCCCAACUGUAUCAUCCCAUCUACGCCCCCGCCCCGCACCAUUGGCAGAGCCAUCUUUAUCACACAUGCUGCACCUCUGGGUUGUCUGUUUAGUGGAUGUCUCCCCGCACCAGCACCGAGUGCACCCGAAUCUACACAUAGUCGUGCACAGUGUGUGCACUCCAGCUUCAGAGCGUGCGUGACACCUGUAGCCACUUGUCCCUUCCCCCAACCCCAGCUGUUGUCUUCAAAGCCGCGAGUUUGUCUCUGUGUGUGACUCCAUCAGCCUGAUCGAGGCUUCACUUUUCUGUCACUUUGCACCAUGUCGUAGAAAACACUUGGGCUGUAGAAUCACAAUUCCUGGAUUCCAGCGAUGCCUCCACACUCAGCAGCUAUUUAAGCUCAGGGAUUCCCUACACUUGGGCAGACUGGCUGUCAGCCUUGGAGGCCACAUUAGUUGGACACAGCUGCUGGGACAAGGUACCACGCACCAGGCGGCCUAGACAGAAACGCCUCUCAGUCCUGGGUUCUGGAUGUCUGAGCAGCAGGUGUGGCAGGGCUGAGGCUUGGGGCCUCUCUCCUCGAUUUCGGGAGCCUUCUCUGCCCGUGUUGUCCCAUGCUCUUCCCUCUGUCUACCUCUGUGUCCUCAUCCCUCCUUACCAGGACAUUCAUCACCCUAUCCCCGUGGCCCCUUCUCCAUAUGCAGUCAUGUUUGGAGACUGGGUAUUGGACAGGGGACUGGAGCAAAUAACACAAUCCAGCCCAUGAUAGUAAUACCCUGGCUUUAUUUCAAGAUGUAUUCAUAUCAUCAUCGUCAUUAUUAUUUGGGGUGCUAGGGAUGGAACCCAGGGCUUCUUGCAUGCUAGGCAAGCUCUCUACCACUGAGCCACACCCUCAGACUACUGGCUUUAUUUUAAAAGGUCCCACUGAAGAGGCCACUGGUUGUGUAGCUUCUAGAAUUUCCACAACAGACUGUUGUUUAAAGCAGAACCAGUCUUGAGCCUGUGGGAGUCCUGGGGCCUUCACACUGAACUACAUCCCCAGGCCUUUUGAAAAUUUUUUAUUUUGAUACAGGGUCUUGCUAAGUCCCUAAAUUCCCCAGGCUGGACUUGAACUUGUGAUCUUCUCACCUUGGCUUCCUAGAGUGCCAGGAUUACUGCCCCACCAUAGCUGGCCUAUGUCUUUCUGAGAGAGAGAGCGCGCGAAAGUCUUAUGCCCAGUAGUAUAAACACAUUGUUUUCAGAGUUUACAGAUGGACUAAUAGUGUGGGUUCCUGCAACUUGUUCGGCAUUUUUGAAACUGAAAACCCUGGUCUGAUCUUUUGACCGGGGAUCGUGGGGACCCUUUCUGUGAGCAGAAUGACCAG
ensembl:lncRNA